UUUUUAUUUCGCACAAGAAAUAAGAAAAACGAGGCACGCAUAAAAAACCCUAGUAUGUCAGUGGCUCUUUAGUGCUUUUUAUUUCGCACAAGAAAUAAGAUAACCGAGGAGGCGUAAGAGAUUCUAUUAUGUCAAUGUCUAUGACGAUAGAGAAACCAGCCGGCAAGGAGGUGGGCUGCGACCCGGCGCAACUGGCGAAACGUGGAUGGCUGAACGUCGACAAGGACGACGACGAUGACGUCAGAGAGCCGACCUGCAUAAGUAUGUUGCCAAGGAAAAACAAGGACGACGACGAGGAGAUCUGGGUUCCGGCAAAGUACUGUGAGUGUUCCAUCCUGACUUGCUGCUGAGGUCAAAUUGAACAUGUCUUCUUUCUAGGUAACAAGCCAGAAGAACCUCCUAGUGAUGAAGAGUUAAAACGCCUAGGUCACCUUUUGGCAGAAGAACCAGACAAGCUCACAAGGGAAGAAUCAACCCUCCUAUGUCGCUUUCUCCCUACCCCGCAGUUUGAUGAACUCUUCUUUAAACGGAGAAGGGAGAAGAAUGCCAGCAAAUCCAAAGAACCAAAGGCUUCUAUUCCGUUUGUCUAUGAAGGAGGUGGAGAUAGUCUGCACAAUUGCAGGAUUUGUGGCAAGAAGGACCACUUUGAUGUAGAUUGCUCUUACAUGAACUUUGUCCCUCAGGGUGUAAAUGUUGGCCCCGAGUAUAUGGUGGUCUGUCGGAUAUGCGGUCAUAGGGUUAGCCAGCCUGUUGGAGAUUGUCAGGCAUGUGGUACGGAGGGAGGACGUGCUGUUAUGAAGGUGUGUAUUUUUUGUUUAUGCCUUGGUGACCACUUGCCUGAGGACUGCCCACGCACAAAGAGACAUAAGACUCGAUCCAAAUCAGAAGAUGCAUUGAUCAUAAGCUAAUUCAACGUUGAUCUUGGCAAAGAAACAGUGCUGUAGAGGAUUGGAUGAUGUUAGCUUUGUGAACAAGGACAAUGGCCAAGGCAAUUUGGCCUUGUAUUUCAAGCUUAUAACAAUAUAUAUCUGUUCUUAAUAAAUGGUGUCAGCGAGUGUAGGAUUCGGUUAGGUGAACUUUGUGAACAGGGAAGAUGCCAAGUCGCGCUGACCUGUGUUAUAAGCUCAUAAUGAUA